AAUUUUCCGCAAUGGGCGAAAGCCUGACGGAGCAACGCCGCGUGAGGGACGAAGGCCUCUGGGCUGUAAACCUCUNUUUCUCAAGGAAGANAGAUAUGACGGUACUUGAGGAAUAAGCCACGGCUAAUUCCGUGCCAGCAGCCGCGGUAAUACGGGAGUGGCAAGCGUUAUCCGGAAUUAUUGGGCGUAAAGCGUCCGCAGGCGGCUUUUCAAGUCUGCUGUUAAAGCGUGGAGCUUAACUCCAUCAUGGCAGUGGAAACUGAAAGGCUUGAGUAUGGUAGGGGCAGAGNGGAAUUCCCGGUGUAGCGGUGAAAUGCGUAGAUAUCGGGAAGAACACCAGUGGCGAAGGCG
rnacentral:rRNA from 1 species